AUUAGAGUUUGAUUAUGGCUCCGGAUGAACGCAUUCGGCAGGCCUAACACAUGCAAGUGGAGGGGUAUUCAGUUUUCGGACUGGAGAGACCGGCGCACGGGUGCGUAACGCGUAUGCAAUCUACCUUUUACAGGGGAAUAGCCCAGAGAAAUUUGGAUUAAUGCCCCAUAGUAUAUAAACUUCGCAUGUUGUUUAUAUUAAAGUUCCAACGGUAAAAGAUGAGCAUGCGUCCCAUUAGUUAGUUGGUAAGGUAACGGCUUACCAAGACGAUGAUGGGUAGGGGUCCUGAGAGGGAGAUCCCCCACACUGGUACUGAGACACGGACCAGACUCCUACGGGAGGCAGCAGUGAGGAAUAUUGGACAAUGGGCGCAAGCCUGAUCCAGCCAUGCCGCGUGCAGGAAGAAGCAUCUAUGGUGUGUAAACUGCUUUUGUACAGGAAGAAACACUCCCUCGUGAGGGAGCUUGACGGUACUGUAAGAAUAAGGAUCGGCUAACUCCGUGCCAGCAGCCGCGGUAAUACGGAGGAUCCAAGCGUUAUCCGGAAUCAUUGGGUUUAAAGGGUCCGUAGGCGGUUUAAUAAGUCAGUGGUGAAAGCCCAUCGCUCAACGAUGGAACGGCCAUUGAUACUGUUAGACUUGAAUUACUGGGAAGUAACUAGAAUAUGUAGUGUAGCGGUGAAAUGCUUAGAUAUUACAUGGAAUACCAAUUGCGAAGGCAGGUUACUACCAGUGGAUUGACGCUGAUGGACGAAAGCGUGGGGAGCGAACAGGAUUAGAUACCCUGGUAGUCCACGCCGUAAACGAUGGAUACUAGCUGUUGGGCGCAAGUUCAGUGGCUAAGCGAAAGUGAUAAGUAUCCCACCUGGGGAGUACGUUCGCAAGAAUGAAAAUCAAAGGAAUU
rnacentral:rRNA from 1 species